rnacentral:rRNA from 1 species
UCGACCGCCUGGGGAGUACGGCCGCAAGGUUAAAACUCAAAUGAAUUGACGGGGGCCCGCACAAGCGGUGGAGCAUGUGGUUUAAUUCGAUGCAACGCGAAGAACCUUACCUGGUCUUGACAUCCACAGAACUUUGCAGAGAUGGAUUGGUGCCUUCGGGAACUCUGAGACAGGUGCUGCAUGGCUGUCGUCAGCUCGUGUUGUGAAAUGUUGGGUUAAGUCCCGCAACGAGCGCAACCCUUAUCCUUUGUUGCCAGCGGUUAGGCCGGGAACUCAAAGGAGACUGCCAGUGAUAAACUGGAGGAAGGUGGGGAUGACGUCAAGUCAUCAUGGCCCUUACGAGUAGGGCUACACACGUGCUACAAUGGCGCAUACAAAGAGAAGCGACCUCGCGAGAGCAAGCGGACCUCAUAAAGUGCGUCGUAGUCCGGAUUGGAGUCUGCAACUCGACUCCAUGAAGUCGGAAUCGCUAGUAAUCGUAGAUCAGAAUGCUACGGUGAAUACGUUCCCGGGCCUUGUACACACCGCCCGUCACACCAUGGGAGUGGGUUGCAAAAGAAGUAGGUAGCUUAACCUUCGGGAGGGCGCUAACCACUUUGAUU